GUGGGUGGAGACAGAGCACUCCAAGCCCGUCCCCCAGAGGGUCAUGUGCCAGACCGGAAGUAUAUGAGCCCAACCCCAGAGCUCACUCGGGAGGCAGCUGCUGGAGAGGCAGACGCCUCUGGCCCAGCUCCCACUGUGGAGACUCCAGCAGCGGACUUGAAGACUGGCCGAUCCUUGAUGCGGAGCAGCGUGUGGGUGUGUCGCUGAGCUUACCCCUCACCAGCUACCCAAAAGAGUCGCUGAGCUUACCCCUCAAAAGCUAUCCUGAGGAUCCAAUGGUGAUCGACCCCUCUGAGGACACCACCUGGACCCAGGUUUGUCCACCAUGGAAGAGAAGCAAUGAUCUUGGUGGGAAUUGUCACUUUAGUGUUUAUGUGAUCUCUGUAUGGAACACUGAUGGAACUAAUUGAUAGGCCUUCUUGUUUCAAGUAGAACAAGUAAUCCAAAACAUGUUGGAUAGAGACCUGAACUGGCAAAACACCCUUUCUGCUUUGACCAUAAGGAGAAUCCUUUCCACUUCAAACAGGUGAGCAUAUCUAGUAGAUGCCUUUCUGCUAUUCAUGAGAACUUUUUUCAUAUGCCCAAACACACGGCCUCUUGAGGCAUUAACCGAGAAGCAUCCAGGCCAUAAAAUGGAGAGCAGCUAAGUUGAGAUGUAGCAAGCAACUGUGGUCCUAGAAGAUAGCAUCAAAGAAGCCAUGGCUCAGAACAGCAGCAGACUGGAGAACCAAUGCUGGUGAGACCAUGCCAGCGUUAUAAGGAUCAUGUGAACAUGAACCUUCUGGAACUUGACCAACAGAAGGAGUAGAAUGGAAGAGUAGGCAUACAACAGUUUGUCUUUCCAAAAUAGCAGGGAAGCAUCCAUCAGAGAUACCUUACUGUGAUGUGCCCAACAAAAGAGCUGGCACUUUCUGUUGAGACCAGUAGCAACAGGUCUAUAUGAUGAAUCCUCCCAAGCGUUUCUGAACAUCAGGAAGUGGAAGACUGAGAUAUAUUGUAUUGGUGAUACAAAACUCCCAAAGAUGUAUUGCUGCUUGACAGAGAUGAUCUGGUCUGGCCCCUCCCUACUUGUUCAUGAAGAACAUUUCGGCAUUGUUGUCCAUGAGGACUUGUAGUCUCUCUCCUUUGCUGUGAAGGGCCAGAAGAAUAGCCUUCAACUCUCUGCAUAUUUAUGUGGAGAUCCAAAUCCUGUUGAGACAAUUGAUCUUGAGUUCAUAGGUUUCCUAGGUCAGCUCCCCAACUGAGAGAGGAAGCACCUGUAACUAGAGUCAAUGUGAGUAAGGGAAGGGUGAAGGGAACUCCCAUACAUACAUUGGCUGGAUCCAAUGAGGCUACUAUUCUUGCAGAAACUCAAAUCAGCAUGUCCAGUGGGUGACAAGCCAGAGUACACUGACUUUAACCUUCUCUGCAACUUUCUGAGAUGAAGUCUGGCAUGUCAAACCAUAUACAUACAAGAGCCCAAGUUGUCCCAGUAGUCUUAGACAAUUUCUUACUGUUGUGAGCAGAUGGCUUUUGAUAUCUAUAUAAGUUUUAAUAUCUGGAAUCCGGCUUGAGGCAGGAACAUCCUGACUACUGUAGAAUCCAGGAUUGCCUCUAUAAAUUCUAUUCUCUGACCUGGAGAGAACACUGACUUUUCCUCAUUGAUCAAAAGACCCAGAAUACUGAAAAGGGAUCAGAUCCUGCAUAGACUGAGUUCUACUUAAAGCCUGGAUUGACCUUUUACCAGGCAGUUGUCCAAAUAAGAAAAUACGUGCACUCAUGUCUUCAUUAGGAAUGCUGCCACUACUCCCAUACAUUUUGUGAAUACUCAAGGGGAAGCAAACAGAUCGAAGGGCAAGACCAGAAACUGAUAAUGGAUGCUGUUGACUGGAAAUUUUAGGAAUCUCUUGUGAUUUUGAUGGAUUGCCACAAGAAAAUAUGCAUCUGUCAAGCUGAGGACAGCAUACAAGUCCCCCCAGAUUCUUAACCCUCAAGUGAACAUGUGAAACCUUAUUUUCUUUAUAUAUUUGUUCAAAUUUCACAAGCCCAGGAUGGAUCUAAUACUUUCUUUUGCCUUUGUCUUCUCUAGCUGAGCCACAUCUCAGCUCUUUCAAUGAAAGGUCCUAUCUUUUGUGCUUCUUUCUCAGCAUCCGAGAAGAGAAUUGGUACCAAUGUUCAGAAGCACUAUCCAAAGCACUAUCCUCACUGAUGCCGAGGUAGCUGGUGCCCAAACCAAGCAGGAAGGUUCAGAAGGCAGAUGCAGGACAGCCUUUAUGGGACUGUGGUGCAGUCUCAUGUCCCUGUCCUUCUUUGUCCAGUGUUUGAAGUCCCUGCAAAUCUGGCAGUAGUCUCGCAUAUGACCCUCAGUGAGGCACUUUAGGCAGGGUCAUGCUCCAGCACAGAUUUCUUGCAGCCAGCACACAGCUUAAAACUCAGAGACCAACUCAUACCCUGUACCAGAUGUUGAUACCCCAUAAAUAAGAGGGACCCCCACACUCCAAGAAAAAGCAACAAAAAUAUCUUAUAUUAUUCUAACAGUAACAAAUACUACAAAUUAACUAUUUACAGAAACAGAAGAUAAAUAGCCUGUGAAGGGAGAAACUUGCAGAAGCAAGUUGAUGUGCUCUGACUACUGAUCACAGGCCAUCAGAACAAAUGGAGGUAGAUCUGGGGCAGCUGCACCCGUCAUACCAUCACGCAGCAACAUGAGGCAGUGGAGAAUAUAUAAAUUGCCCCAACAGGUACUGCAUUAAGGCGAAAAUCUCCAACUCUGGGCACACACACAUCUGAAGUGGAAAGGACAUGCGCAAAUCACUUGUACUAGAAACUGAAUGCCUGUACACAAAUUAAAACAGGUUGAUAUUUAUUCACCAAAGUAGAAGACCAAGGUAUUAAAAACCCUAGCUUCUGUUAGUCAGAAAAACAGCAAGGUCAGUGUAAGACAGUGGUUUUCAUACUUUUUUCAUUUAUGGAGCCCUAAAAAAUUUCAAAUGAAGGUGCGGACCCCUUUGGAAAUCUUAGACAUACAGUAAAACCUGAGAGUUAUGAACACCAGAGUUAUGAACUGACCAGUCCAUUACACACC